UGGGCGGAUGUGGUAGUGGGAAGAUGUAGGUAGAUGGGCGGAUGUGGUAGUGGGUAGAUGGGCGGAUGUGGUAGUGGGUAGAUGUAGGUAGAUGUGCAUUAUGGUAGUGGGUAGAAGUAGGUAGAUGGACGGAUGUGGUAGUGGGUAGAUGUAGAUAGAUGGGCGUUUGUGGAAGUGGGUAGAUGGGCGGAUGUUGUAGUUUGAGAUGUAGGCAGAUGGACGGAUGUGGUAGUGUGUAGAUGUAGAGAGAUGGGCGGAUGUGGUAGUGGGCACAUGUAGAUAGAUGGGCGGAUGUGGUAGUGGGUAGGUGUAGGCAGAUGGGCGGAUGUGGUAGUGGGUAGAUGUAGGUAGAUGGGCGAAUGUGGUAGUGGGUAGAUGUAGAUAGA